CCCCUGGAGCACUGCUUUACCACAUUAUAUCUAAAUUUGUGUUAAUCGGGUUACGUUAUAUUGGGUUAGAGGUGUAUAUGAUUAAAUUUAGCCUAAU